AUUGAACGCUGGCGGCAUGCCUUACACAUGCAAGUCGAACGGCAGCACGGGAGCAAUCCUGGUGGCGAGUGGCGAACGGGUGAGUAAUACAUCGGAACGUGUCCUGGAGUGGGGAUAGCCGGCGAAAGCCGGAUUAAUACCGCAUACGCUCUGUGGAGGAAAGGGGGGGAUCUUAGGACCUCUCGCUCAAGGGGCGC
rnacentral:rRNA from 1 species